rnacentral:misc_RNA from 1 species
AAGUCGUAACAAGGUAACCGUAGGUGAACCUGCGGUUGGAUCAUUCUUGAAAUUUUGAAGGGAAGAUUGAAUUUUAAAACUUCAAUUGACUCGACACCUUUAAACGUCUUUAAAAGACGACUUGAGAAUUUAUUCAUGUACUUUGGGGAAUGUUGUACUUUUUUUGAGUGCAUGCCCCUAAAUUUUAAACAUUUUUUUUUAUUUUAAAUUCUUUGUGAGUGAUUGAAAUUUGAAACAACUUUUGACAACGGAUCUCUUGGCUCUC